rnacentral:rRNA from 1 species
AUUGAACGCUGGCGGCAUGCCUUACACAUGCAAGUCGAACGGCAGCGGACCUUCGGGUGCCGGCGAGUGGCGAACGGGUGAGUAAUGCAUCGGAACGUGCCAUUGAGUGGGGGAUAACGUAGCGAAAGUUACGCUAAUACCGCAUAUUCUGUGAGCAGGAAAGCAGGGGACCGCAAGGCCUUGCGCUCUUUGAGCGGCCGAUGUCAGAUUAGCUAGUUGGUGAGGUAAAGGCUUACCAAGGCGACGAUCUGUAGCGGGUCUGAGAGGAUGAUCCGCCACACUGGAACUGAGACACGGUCCAGACUCCUACGGGAGGCAGCAGUGGGGAAUUUUGGACAAUGGGCGCAAGCCUGAUCCAGCCAUGCCGCGUGAGUGAAGAAGGCCUCGGUUGG